rnacentral:rRNA from 1 species
GAUGAACGCUGGCGGCGUGCCUAAUACAUGCAAGUCGAGCGAACAGACGAGGAGCUUGCUCCUCUGACGUUAGCGGCGGACGGGUGAGUAACACGUGGAUAACCUACCUAUAAGACUGGGAUAACUUCGGGAAACCGGAGCUAAUACCGGAUAAUAUAUUGAACCGCAUGGUUCAAUAGUGAAAGACGCUUUUGCUGUCACUUAUAGAUGGAUCCGCGCCGCAUUAGCUAGUUGGUAAGGUAACGGCUUACCAAGGCGACGAUGCGUAGCCGACCUGAGAGGGUGAUCGGCCACACUGGAACUGAGACACGGUCCAGACUCCUACGGGAGGCAGCAGUAGGGAAUCUUCGGCAAUGGGCGAAAGCCUGACGGAGCAACGCCGCGUGAGUGAUGAAGGUCUUCGGAUCGUAAAGCUCUGUUAUUAGGGAAGAACAAAUGUGUAAGUAACUAUGCACGUCUUGACGGUACCUAAUCAGAAAGCCACGGCUAACUACGUG